UACGUAGGGUGCGAGCGUUGUCCGGAAUUAUUGGGCGUAAAGAGCUCGUAGGCGGUCUGUCGCGUCGAUCGUGAAAACUUGGGGCUUAACCCUGAGCUUGCGGUCGAUACGGGCAUGACUGGAGUUCGGCAGGGGAGACUGGAAUUCCUGGUGUAGCGGUGAAAUGCGCAGAUAUCAGGAAGAACACCCGUGGCGAAGGCGGUUCUCUGGGACGGUACUGACGCUGAGACGCGAAAGCGUGGGGAGCGAACAGG
rnacentral:rRNA from 1 species